GCCGUCGGUGGUCCGGAAACUGGCUCACGUGAAGUCCUCUUUGACGUGUCUUCUGUUGUCUACCUUUGUACCUGUGGACGGAAAGCGAGCAAAGCCUCGCAGGUUUCCUUUACCUACGCCCAACGUGCCCCCAGGAUAAACCUAAGAGAGUAGAGGAAAAGAUUUUCUUUCCCAGCAGGCAUUAGAUGUUACAGCAAAAUAAUUUAAUUUUAGAAUCAGGCCCCAGGUGAAUGAAGAAAGGGAAUGAGUACCGGCAUCCUGGAAGAAAAUGUCAUAGGGUCAGCUUUCUGUAAGAAGCAGUGACUGCUGAUAAAAGAUCUCAUCUAGAACAUUAAAAUCAAUAUACAAUGUGAUUUUUAAGAAAUCAAGUGAUGAAAUUCUUCUCAUUUACAAUGAGCCAGGCAGUUUCUGUGACAGUGAACUGUCUGCCUAUACACAAACUUGGUUCCUGCUGUCAUGGUUAGACAACUACAAGCCAUUACUGAUUCAGUCAACAAACAACUGAAGGAUCAAAUAAGGAAGAGGCAUUUGUCUUGGUUGUUGUCUGAAACCUUUUAUUGGCAUCUUCUUACAAGAUCAAAAUAGCACCAACAUCAAAACUUGCAAAAUGGGUGUCCGUGUCUAGGAAGAAAAUCCUUAAGACAGAAGAAGGGCACUCGUCUGUGACAUGCUGCCUCACCCAUGCUCAUGGUGGCACAGAGGAGAUACUGGAUGGAAAAACAGAGGCAUCUAUCAUGAAGAGUUGAAAAGUGAUUCAAAGGAGUCAAGCCAAUCAUGA